rnacentral:rRNA from 1 species
UACAGAGGUCUCAAGCGUUGUUCGGAUUCAUUGGGCGUAAAGGGUGCGUAGGUGGCGGGGUAAGUCUGGUGUGAAAUCUCGGGGCUCAACCCCAAAACUGCACUGGAUACUGCCUUGCUUGAGUACUGGAGAGGAGAUUGGAAUUUACGGUGUAGCAGUGAAAUGCGUAGAUAUCGUAAGGAAGACCAGUGGCGAAGGCGAAUCUCUGGACAGUCACUGACACUGAGGCACGAAGGCCAGGGGAGCAAACGGG